rnacentral:RNase_P_RNA from 1 species
GAAGUUCGCCAGGCAACCGCUGAAUGCGCAAGCAUUGGGAGGAAAGUCCGGGCCCCACAGGGCGGAAUGCCGGCUAACGGCCGGGCGCUAUAAGUCGGGCGACGCAAGUCGACCCAAGGCGACAGACAGUGCAACAGAAAGAUACCGCCGAUGGCUUCGUCUGACUUUUUCGCCGCAAGGCGGCAAAGUCCCCCUUAAGUGGGCGGGACGGGAUCAGGCAAGGGUGAAAUGGUGGCGCGGCUGGCUGCAUCGCGCAAGCGUUGCGGCUGGGUGCGUCAAGGCUGCGCAAGCGGCCUUGGGGUAAGAGCCCACCGCGUUUCUGGUAACAGGAACGGCACGGCAAACCUCAUUCGGGGCAAGGCCAAAUAGGGGAGCAAUGGCGCGGCCCGCGUCGCUCCCGGGUAGGCUGCUAGAGGCCGUCGGCAACGGCGGUCCCAGAGGAAUGGUUGCCCACGACAGAACCCGGCUUAUCGGCGGACUUCCCAC